rnacentral:ribozyme from 1 species
GAAGCUAGGGUCCUCUUUGAUCGGUCCGGAUUGGAUCCGAAUACUUUAGGGACCAUCUGGAGCAUGAGUGAUGUGGAUCGAGACGGCUCGCUAACCGAGAGAGAGUUUAGUAUCGCGUU